CUCCGAAUUGAUAACUGGAUGGAUUGAUCGGUGUUUAGUCCCUUUCUGUCUUUUAAGUAUUCGGGAGAAUAAUUUGGAAAUGCUUCUUACACGACGGUGAUAUUUUUCAGUUGUUUCAGUCGUUUACUUUUCCUUUACAUUU
rnacentral:snoRNA from 1 species